UUAAGCUUUACUUUAAAACCAUUUUUAAUUUUUUCCCUACUCCUAUCCCAUACCUUAAAUAAGUGCAUACGUUUGAUUUUCAAAUAGGACCCUCCCCCCUUUUGAACACAGAUUUUAAUAGAGAACAUUGUAUAUUCAUAACACUAAUAUUAGAUUUACCGUUUAUGAGUUAUAACAGUUUAAAGUUUAGACCGGAGGAGUAGGGAAGGAUAAUCAAUUGCCUAUCUAUAUCUAAUAAAAUUCACUUAAAAUCCUCUGAGAUAACUGUAGGUUCAUGAUAAAAAAAAAUCACCCUGUAUAGAUGAAAAGAAAGUUUAAACCGUGUUCAUUUGCCAAUCUAUAAUUCUAUAAAUAAUAUAAUAUGUUAUUUCUAUAAACGAAACGAUUUGAGCAUAAUUUUGUCAGCUAAAAUCGUUGAAAAUCGAUAAAAUGCAGGUGUCUAUAUAGUCGUAUGUUAUAGCUAUAUAGCUGUAAUAGUGUUGUUCAAUCGAUUUAUUGGUUUAUUUUAUAUCUACCACGAUAAAUUAAACGGGGCAUAUACCG